rnacentral:lncRNA from 1 species
AGGUACCAGUAGUGCGUUUCAGUUCCCCGAGAAAAAUUUAGGGAAAAUUAGGGACAGCCUGUAGGCGCACUGUGAAGCCGUGUUCGGACCCCGAAACGUGUAAGGACCCCUCACCCUAUUUCCUAUCACGGUUUUAAAGUUCAAUAAAUAAUAAAACGGUAUUUCAUGAAUCAACGAAUGUGUGAAAUUGCUUAAGGUCGCUAAUGGAGCCCGAGUCUAGUGUAUUUGUCGGUUAACUGUUAUUUGGCCUGUUUUACAGUUUUAAAUGCAGCAUGAGGUUAGAUGUUUUCAUUUUAUAGUUUCGUGUGCAUAUUUUACUGUUUUAUUGAUU